rnacentral:rRNA from 1 species
GGAUCAUUGUCGAAAUCUGCAAAGCAGAAUGACUUGCGAACAAGUGAAAAAUCCAUGGUUGGAGGGCACCACGGUCGCCUUUCAACCGAUGAUCGCUGGAGGCGGCGGUUGGGCCUCGUGCCCCCCCUCCGUACCUCUCACGGUCCCAACCAACAUACCUCAGCGCGGAAUGCGCCAAGGAAAACAAACAGAAGGUACGCUGCCCCUUGCACCGUAAAUGGUUGCGCGUGGCUUGCGUAUUUCGCUUAAUCUAAUGUUACAACGACUCUCGGCAACGGAUAUCUUGGCUCUCGCAUCGAUGAAGAACGUAGCAAAAUGCGAUAGCUGGUGUGAAUUGCAGAAUCCCGUGAACCAUCGAGUCUUUGAACGCAAGUUGCGCCUGAAGCCGCCAGGCCAAGGGCACGCCUGCCUGGGUGUCACCCUCCCCACCCGCCCCAAAUACACGACUCCUCCCGCCUCGACGGGAAGAGCGAGUGAUUUGGGCGGAUAAAUGGCCUCCCAUGGCGAGUAUUUCCGUGGUUGGCCCAAAAAUAGCACUUGGCUCUUAGGAAGCCACGACAAGCAUUGGCGAAAAACUCCGGUGAUUCCUUGAUCGUCGUUGUCGUUGCCAGACUUUGAGGCGUGCUGUAAAAUACCUCGGUGCUUGCAUCCCCCUAAGAUUGCGACCCCAGGUCAGGCGGGAACACCUGCUGAGUUUAAG